ACGGAAGGCAGCAGUGGGGGAUAUUGCACAAUGGGGGAAACCCUGAUGCAGCGACGCCGCGUGAGUGAUGAAGUAUUUCGGUACGUAAAGCUCUAUCAGCAGGAAAGAUAAUGACGGUACCUGACUAAGAAGCACCGGCUAAAUACGUGCCAGCAGCCGCGGUAAUACGUAUGGUGCAAGCGUUAUCCGGAUUUACUGGGUGUAAAGGGAGCGCAGACGGCAUGGCAAGCCAGAUGUGAAAGGCAGGGGCUCAACUCCUGGACUGCAUUUGGAACUGUCAAGCUAGAGUAUCGGAGAGGUAAGUGGAAUUCCUAGUGUAGCGGUGAAAUGCGUAGAUAUUAGGAGGAACACCAGUGGCGAAGGCGGCUUACUGGACGAUAACUGACGUUGAGGCUCGAAAGCGUGGGGAGCAAACAGGAUUAGAUACCCUGGUA
rnacentral:rRNA from 1 species